rnacentral:lncRNA from 1 species
CAAGUGUAUAAUAAAAUGUAUUGUAAAUAUUGACUUAGGAUACUGUUACAGAUUUAAAAAGAAUUUCCUGCGACUUAUCAGAAUAAUGCAUGUUUUAAAGAAUUCUAGUUUCCAACUACUUUGCUGUUUCUCUGGUGUGUAACAACUUACACAUUAUAUCCAGUACAUAAUCAAAAGAUACAUAAUAAAAGGGCAAUACUUAAACAUCUAAAUGAAGAUCUUCCCCUUGCGCCUUCAUCUUGGCACCUGCUGCUUGCUGCGCUGUCCUCUCUAAAAAAGACAAAGAGAGAGUCCAACCUCCUUGGCUUUUGUCCUUUUAAAGACUCAUUCUUGCUGUCAUAAACUACAAGUCCCAGAAAUCCCUUUCCCUCCCAAAAGUGGUUUAUCACGCCCCAUUUUUCCAGAGAGUUCUGUCUUUACACAGAAUUCCAGCUAAACUGUAACGUUCUGAAAGAAAUGACAGUUAGGGUUGGUUUCUGGGUAGAUUAGACAGGAUGCCUUGGGAAAACACACACUUCCAUGGUUACACCUAGAUGUUAAUUACUCAGGUCUUCUGAUAACAUGCAUAGAAAACUGGUUGGCAGGAGAACUGUUUGAGGGAUGUAAGCGUUUGUUUUAGAGGGGUGUUGUAAAAUACAACUGAAAGCUUUGAUCCUUAUCACACUGUUAUCAAGUAAAUGACCCCAACUUGUGAAACCAGUCACAUACACAGAAUAUUUUAUACAAUAUUGCAAUUUUGCAUAUCAAUUUCUUACACUAGUAGGUAUUGGAUAAAUAGACUAUAUACCCAAAGAAAUGUUUAACAGAAAGUUCAUACACCAAAAAGUGAAAAAAUAUACUUAUUAAACAUGUUCAAACUUCCAAAUAUGGUUAACAGCGAUUCCAUAAUCAGCGGGAAUCUAAAAUAACUAUGACACAAAUACACAUAGUGUAAUCAAUAAAAACAUACAAAAACAAUAGAUUGUAAUAAUCAAACUCACAAGGAUAGAGCACUGAAGAAGACUUUGAUAUAGUCAAAACGCGUUUGCUGUGUAUUGGGACUCGGUCCCAAUUUACUGUGCAGUAGUUUAUACGGUUAGCGUGUAUUCACAGUUACACACUGCUUUAUGCUAGUUCUUUUAUCUUUGAUUUUUUUAUUUUAUUUAUUUUUUUUAGAAAUUUUUGCUGUGCAGAGAUUUACAAACAGCAGAUGACAAAGACGUAAUAAUACGUUACUUAUGUUAAGACAUUUAAAAAGAACGUGCACAAUUUUUUAAAUUAUAAUGACGGGCUAAUAAACAUGCUAUGAAAACAUUUCUAGAUAUGGAUUGUGGUAGAGGCUUAUGCAAGAAUAAAAUACAUCCAAACAGUAGGUCAUUAGCAGUAUGGUUAGUGAUAAUUGGUGUAUAUGUGCGGAGGCUUGUCUCAUUUGGUAAUGUAAGUCAACAAAGUAGCUUUCCCAUAAGUACAAGGUAAAGACCAUGUAGCCUACAGCACUUGAUUAAUGCUAACGAUGGAGUUAAGUAAAGAUAUAUAAGUAAAGUUAAGACAUAUGCCAACUCCUCUAUAUAGGCUCCGAAGAACCUGAGAACUGCGAGAAGAGUGGUCAGAGACAUGUUUCACCCAGCGGGCUCCCAUGCUGAGGUGUUAAUACGUUGAUUGGGAUUAAUUAUUGGCAAACAGGAGGUUAACAUGAGAGCCUAGCAUGAGCUUAAAGGGACACUAUAGUCACCAGAACAACUACAGCUUAUUGAAUUUGUUCUGGUGAGUAGAAUCAUUACCUUCAGGCUUUUUGCUGUAAACACUGUCUUUUCAGAGAAAAUGCAGUGUUUACAUUACAGCUUGGUGAUAACUUCACUGGCCACUCCUCAGAUGACUGUUAGAGAUCCUUCCUGGGUCAUGGCUGCCUACAUUGCAUCAAAACAUCCAGUGUCUCUUCCCUCUGCAUGCAGACACUGAACUUUCCUCAUAGAGAUUCAUUGAUUCAAUUCAUCUCUAUGAGGAUAUGCUGAUUGGCCAGGGCUGUGUUUGAAUCAUGCUGGCUCUGCCUCCUUGCCAGUCUCAGCCAAUCCUUUAGGGAAGCAUUGCGAUUGGAUCAGGCCACCACUUCUGAUGAUGUCAGACAGCUCUUUUUUUCUGACGCAAACAGCAUGCAAAUCUACAGCUUCAGGCUUGAAUACAGUAAGAUCUUGCUAUAGUUAUAGAAGCAUUAAGGACCCUGACCCUAUAGUGAUCCUUUAAAAUACAUGAAGUGAAACAAAAACCGAAAGAAAAGAGAAACAGAAAUAAACAUUAGCAUUGCUCUCUGUUAGAGGUGUAUUACAUGGUGCCAGCUUCAUUCAGCCUAUGCCCUCCAGUGGUCUAGUAUAGUCCUGCUUCAGUCUGCCUACUUGAGGAUGCCAUAGCCACAGUAAUGGCUGUUGUGACCUCCAGGUGGCGUAGCAAGAGAGGUUUGAUGGGAGCUGCAAUCUUGGGAGUCUUGCGGUGUUUCAGCCUCCCAGGCAUACGUGGUAUGUGGACUCUGUCAUGGGUCUUGCACUGUGGUACACAACCUAAUAUGCCUCUGACGCUUCCAUUUCGUCCGCAGGACCGUAGCUAAUAGCACAAAGUGGAUUCCGGAUGGUAACUCCUGGCAUAGGCUGCCAUCUUGCCUCUGCGCAGGGGGAAGGUUCAGGUGGUGGGUCAGGUCAACCCAGAAAUCCUUGUCCAGCUGCGAGGGAACAGCAGCUUGCUCUCCACUGUCGGCCAGGCGGCAGCAUCUGCCAUUUUAGGUGGAAAUUUCUCCAGCAGCCAGGAGUCGAGGGUUAUUAAGGGCCCCCAAAGGUAAGGACCGUUAUAACUCCCCCUGGUCCAAAGGGGGCGGGCCAGUAGCACCGAGGAUCUGACCUGCAGUAAUUGGGCAGGAUAGCGGGGCGGCGGCCAUGUGUCUUAUGAAAAGGAACCAGCCACUUAUGAAAUUAUCCACGCGAUUUCCCAUCCAGCAGCAGCAGGACCCUCUGUUCUCGCGAUCCGCGAGAGCGUUGUCGCGAGUUGCCAUAGCAACCCGCAGCAACGCUCUCGCGGAUCGUGAGAACAGAGGACCCUGCUGCUGCUGGAUGCGAAAUGAGCAUGGAGAGUACUGGGCCCCUCUUCACUGCCCAUCUAAAGCUGUGCCACCAGACCACCAGGACCAGGUAAGUGUCAGGGAGGGGCAACCAUACACACUGCUCACCUUCCCAGUACUUAUUCCACACAACACACACACACACACUGCAUACACUAUAAACACACUGCAUACAUUAUACACACACUGCAUACACUAUACACACACUGCAUACAUUAUACACACACUGCAUACACUAUACACACACUGCAUACAUUAUACACACACUGCAUACAUUAUACACACUGCAUACAUUAUACACACACUGCAUACAUUAUACACACUGCAUACACUAUACACAUACUGCAUACAUUAUACACACACUGCAUACACUAUACACACUACAUACACUAUACACACACUGCAUACAUUAUACACACACUGCAUACACUAUACACACUGCAUAAAUUAUACACACGCUGCAUACACUAUACACCCACUGCAUACACUAUACACACUGCAUACAUUAUACACACACUGCAUACAUUAUACACACACUGCAUACAUUAUACACACUAUACACACUGCAUACACUAUACACACACUGCAUACACUAUACACACACUGCAUACAUUAUACACACUACAUACACUAUACACACACUGCAUACACUACACACACUGCAUACAUUAUACACACACUGCAUACACUAUACACACACUGCAUAAAUUAUACACACACUGCAUACACUAUACACCCACUGCAUACAUUAUACACCCACUGCAUACAUUAUACACACCGCAUACACUAUACACACUGUAUACACUAUACACACACUGCAUACAUUAUACACACUGCAUACACUAUACACACACUGCAUACAUUAUACACACUGCAUACAUUAUACACACACUGCAUCCACUAUACAAACGCACACACUGCAUCCACUACGCAAACACACUGCAUUCACUAUGCAUACACACACUUAUACAUGUGUAUCUGUAUGUCUGUGUAUCUGUAUGUGUAUCUGUUUGUAUGUCUGUGUAUCUGUAUGUGUGCCUGUGUGUCUCUCUCUGUGUGCCUGUAUUUGUCUGUAUCUGUGUAUGACUGUGUUUCUAUGUAACGGCAUGUGUGUACCUAUGUGUCUGUGUAUCUGUAUGUGUGCCAGUGUGUGUAUAUGUGAGUAUGUGUAUAUGUGCAUACAUCUCAGCAUUUCAUCUACACUACACACAAAUACAACCCUGCAUCUAAAUGUCAACACUACAUAAAAACACACCAUCAUAUUCAAAAACCACACUACAGAAAAAUGCAAGCCUGCAUUCAAAUGCCAAUUUGUGCAAACACACCCGUACAUUCACUCACACAUACUCCAUACAAAAACAUGCUUACAUUAAAAAU